UCAAAUUCGCUGGACUCAUUUUGUCUCC
rnacentral:piRNA from 1 species